rnacentral:lncRNA from 1 species
GCGUACUUAUCUUCUAGUUGGAUAAAUGAUAUUGUAUCCUUUUUUUCUAAGGAUUCAAGCACCUGUACACUCCUACCUAAAUGCAAUUCCGUAUUUUAAGGAAAGAUUUUGUUUUGCUCUAGAGUUUAUUUCAAAGACGGAAAUUUAUAAUUGUGCAUGCCUAUAAAUACCAGUGUGCAAUAUCUUUUCUUGCAUCCCGAGUUUAUAAACACAUGCAAACUCGGCAAUCGACUUCUCCCAGGUAAAGUCGACUCAAUCUUCUUUCUUUUGAAUUUUAAAUAUUGAUCACUUUCCCAUAACAAAUAUGUUGGUUCUCAUGCUUUACAUGUAAUCAUGUAGUUACCAAAGGAAUGUUCCAAGUAAAGGCUAUGCUUUAUUCUCUAAAUUGUCGAUUCUUCACGAGUUGUUUUUGAUUUAUUAUUUUUUUUCUUGUAAAAUUUUGGUGGCAUUGAUAUUUUAGACACGAUACCUCUAAGAAUCAUCUUCCACUUGAAAAUAAAAACUUCCUUUACCAGGCUUUAUUUGCUGAAGCUUCAUAGUUUAGUAAUAGUAACAUCUUAACUUGAAAGGUCAUAGAAUUUACUUCCUUCAGUGGAAUGUAAUAGUUAAGAAGACAAUCCAUUUUAUCGGUGCUUCAUUAUAAUAUGUUCCAAGCUUUGAAUGAUUCUUCAGGGUUCAAAUGAAUUUUUUGCUUCAUCCUUGCACUUGUUCUAUUAUUUCUUUUUUCGUUCCAACUUUCGUUCUUCCGCAUACACAUCCUCUUGCUGGACUAUUUUCACUAUGGUGUUUUAUUGUUAUACAUCCAAUACAAUAUUUUAAUGAAUUCAUGAAGAACACCAAGAUCUUAUUUUCCCUUCGGGUAAUAUCUUCCCGUCUCUUGUAUUCAUUUGGGUCUUUCUUUGUUGUUGUUUCUUUCCAGGUUCAAAGGAGGGGACAAUUAGUUAUUGAAUCAGUAUUUUGAGUUAUUUAUCCCAUUUGAGGCGAAGACUUUAUUUUACCUUAGUCAAGGCAAAGAUUUUGCAAUGUCUCGAGUAGAAGAAUUUACAAGAUCAUUACACCAUUUUAAAUCGAAGACUAUAAAAUAUUAUUACACCGUCUAACUCAAAAACUUUUCUUUGUCCCAUGUGAAAAUUAUUACACUGUCUAAGCUGAAAAUUUUAUUUCAUCCGAGACAAAGACCAUUACACCGUCUGAGCCAAAAAUUUUACUUUGUCUGAGGUGAAGACUAUUACACCAUUUAGCGAAGGAUUUUAAUUUGUCUGAGGUAAAUACCAUUACACCGUCUGAGCCAAAAAAAAAUUUAUUUUUUCUGAGGUGAAGACCAUUGCAACAUCCGAGCCAAAGGUUUUUUUAAUUUUUUCUAAGGUGAAGAUCAUUACACCGUCUGAGCCAAAGAUUUUACUUUGUCUGAGGUGAAGACCAUUACACCGUCUGAGCCAAAAAAAAUUAUUUUUUCUGAGGUUAAGAUCAUUACACUCUCUAAGCUAGAGAUUUACUUGUCUGAAGUGAAGACCAUUACACCGUUGAGCCAAAGAUUUUUUUUUUCUGAGGUGAAGAUCAUUACACCAUCUGAGCCAAAAAAUUUACUUUGUCUGAGGUGAAGACUAUUACACCGUCUGAGCCAAAGAUUUUUUUUAUUUUUUCUAAGGUGAGAGCCAAAGACUUCACUUUAUAGAGGCAAUGUAUAUUACACCGGCUAAGCUAAAGACUAUAUUUUGCAAAGGCGAAGACAACCAUCUAAGCUGAAGACUUUACUUUGUCCAAGGCUAAGACCAUUAUACUGUCUUAGCUGAAGAUUAUAUUUUGUCCAAGGCGAAUACCAGCGAAGAUAAUUAUAGAGUCUAACUUGCAGAUUUUACUUUACCGCCAAAAGAUUUGACCUUUUGAUGCAAAUGAACAAAAACUCGUCCUCAUUUCGAGAUGCAAUAAUUAGAGAUUGUAUGAAGCAUGAAAAAAAAACUGACCACCAAGAAUAUCUCUUCAAUGUCAAUCUUCACAGGUAAUUUUAUGAUUUCCUUUAUAUAGAUAUGUUUCUCUUUCCCUUUUUUGCAGGUAGAAGAAAAGAUCACUUCCAACGAUACCACUUUAGUAAAGAUAACCUCACAGUCGAAGAAUCUUUUUUUUCCUGCAACAUAAAUCAAGUCAUACAAGCCAACAUUUUAAAUACUUUCAGUUGAAGAUUUUAAGAUAUGUUAAAAACUUCCUUCAAAUAAUUCAAGAUAUAAAUAUUUAAAGAUGGUGCAGACUAUAUCAAAGGUUGUUACCAUAUACUUGGAGAUAUACUGAAGCUUCAAACUAAAGAAUUGAAGUCCAUAUCAAUUUGAAGACUUCAAGAUUAUUAUGGGGGCUUUUUAUUGUCUUUCAGUUGAAGACUUGGUACUUAGAAGAAUUUAACUUGCAUAUUUCAACUUGAAGACAUGGCAGACUUGAAGGCUUCUACUUGAAGACUUAGUAGAUUUGGAGACUUCAAGUUGAUGAUUCAACUUGAAAUUUUGCAGAAUUGAAGACUUUAACUCGAAGAUUUAGGUAGAUUUUAAGAAUUCAAAUUGAAGGUUAAAGUAUAAGAGUUAUACUUGAAGAUGUAGCCACUUUGAAGAAUUCAACUUGGAGAUGUGUCAGACUUGGAUAGUUGAAGACUUAGCGGACUAGAAGAAUUUAACUCGACUUCAACUUGAAGAUUUAGCAUGCUAGAGACUUCAAAUCAAUGAUAUAGAAAAUAUGAAGAAUUCAACUUGACGACUUAGCAAACUUAAAGAAUUCAGCUCAAAGACAUGACGUUCUUGAAAAUUUUGCAGCCUGCUAAAGACUACAAUUUUAUCGAAGAUACCAAUCUCGGUGAAGAGGAUCAAGUCAUUAUGCAGUUUACAACAAGUGAGGUUUUUUAAUACUUUAUGGAUUUGAAGACUUGGUGGACUUGAAUACUGCAACUUUAAGACCUAGCAGGCUUAAAUACUUCAAAUUGAUGAUGUAAUAGACUUGACAAAAUCAACUUGACUUAGAAUUGGAGCCUUCAACUUGAAUAUUUAGCCUCUUAUUAAAGAAACUACAAUCAUUUCAUCAAAGACCUCAAUUUGACAUGGAGGGAUUGCCCCCAUUGAGCCAUCAAGAUAAGAUAGAGAGCUCAACGAAAGAAUACAUGUACACCUAAUUUUCAAGUGUCAAUCAAGUGAAUUAUAUUCUAUCUUACCUCAUUUGAAUAAUGCCUUGGAUAAAAUGUAUUUUUGAACUCAUAUGACUGAACUUAGAAUGAAAC